UAUCAAAAACAUAGCUUCUAGCCCAUUAAGUAUUAGAAGUCCCGCCUGCCCUGUGGAAACCCUAAACGGCCACGGCACUAAAACCGUGCAAAGGUAGCACAAUCACUUGUCCCUUAAAUGAGGACCCGUAUGAAAGGCAAUAUGAGAGAAGACCUGUCUCCUAGGGCCAGCCAAUGAAAUUGAACUACCAGUACAAAAGCUGAUAUCCGCAAGCAAGACAAAAAGACCCUGUGGAACUUUAACAAAUGUUUAAACAAUUAAACAGUAGUUUCAGUUGGGACAACUUUAGAAAAAAUAAACUUCUUAAACACUACAGACCAACAAGUCACAGCCAUCACAACCACGAUCCAGUUUUACUGAUUAACGAAACAAGCUACCCCAGGGAUAACAGCGCUACCUUCUCAAAGAGUCCUUAUCGACAAGAAGAUCUACGACCUCGAUGUUGGAUCAGGGUACCCAGACGGUGCAGCAGCUGUCAAAGGUUCGUUUGUUCAACGACUAAGACCCUACGUGAUCUGAGUU
rnacentral:rRNA from 1 species